GUCAGCAUGGUGGAGUGGUUUGAGCAUUGGACUACAACUCUAGAGACCAGGGUUCAAAUCCUGGUUUGGCCA